rnacentral:lncRNA from 9 species
CUCAAACAAUUGCCCACCUGAGAAACAGUUUUGAGGCAACAGAAAAUCUCAGAGAAUUAAUUUGAAAGUAAUACUGAGAUCCAUAAAAAGUUCUGUAGGAGUUCCCGUCAUGGCACAGCGGAAACAAAUCCAACUAGGAACCAUGAGGUUGCAAGUUUGAUCCCUGGCCUUGCUCAGUGGGUUAAGGAUCAUGCCUGCAUUGCCGUGAGCUGUGGUGUAGGUUGCAGACGCAGCUCGGAUCUGGUGUUGCUGUGGCUCUGGCAUAGGCCGGCAGCAACAGCUCUGAUUUGACCCCUGGCCUGGGAAUCUCCAUAUCCCACGGGUGCAGCCUAAAAAGACAAAAAAAAAAAAAAAAGUUCUGUAGCUGAAUGAUUUUAGGAAUUUUUUUCUUGUUGGACCUCGCAUGCAUUAUAGUUCCUAGAUCCUGGCUUGCUCUCACGUGUUAUGUUUAAUGAUGCCACAAAGACAGGUGGACCACCAUUCACAACAAAAGCGAGGGUCCUGUCUUUGAAAUAUAGCAAAUCCCACCGGGGCAUCAAUCCCCUGCCUUCUUUUGUACAAGCUGCACCUCAUCUACACAUAUUUUCAAAAAGGCACAUUUAAAAUUCAACCUUUAUCUUUAUAAAGGGGAUAUCAUACUCUAUAUAAUUGUCUGACUGACUUUUUCCACUGCCGCUAUGUUCCUAAGGGGCAUCCACACUGUCACAGGCUUGCACAGAAGCACUGCUUGGACAGGUACAUACUAUUCCACUGAACGAAUGAACCAGUCUGUGUGCCAUCUCUCGAGGCUCCUUCCAAUAACAGGAUCUUUUUUUACCAUAAACUGUGAGGUUCUGGCACAUUAAUAUGUGCAAUGGAUUCUCUAGGACAGGGAUCAGCAAAGUUUUUCUAUAAAAGGCCAGAGUUGGUCAUUGUUCUGUGGGUUUGUAAGAGAAUAUCCUUAUCCUUAGGAAAUAUACUAGGGAUAAAGGGCUUCAGAUUGAUGUCAAAAAGUUCUGUCAUGUGUUCUUGUACUAUUUUUAUUUUUACAGUUUUUGUAAGGCUGACAUGAUUUGAAACAAGUAAAAAAAAAAAAGGAAUAGUCCCUGGAAAACAUUUUGUGAACAUAAGGGAAAAGGUAUUAAAAACAUUGAAAAUAGACCUAUGUCCUUAACUGCAGGUUUUUCAGUGGCAUCUCACUGCCACGACCCAUGGCAGGUUAGAGACCUGCAUUCACUUCAGAGUGAAACACAUCCUUCCAGCCAGAACAACUGCCUUGAAAAUCUGCCCAGAGGCCUGCACUCCUGGAAGAGAGCUUCUGACAGACCUGACAGGGAUCUGGGCCAGGGACCACACAUCCUCAAACAAGUCAGCCCUCAGCAGCAAUCAUUUUAGUUUUAUAAUCAAGGGCUUCAGACCACUGCAGAGUGGUAAGCUUUGUUUAAAAUAUGUAUACACUCCAGGAGUUCCCGUUGUGGCUCAGCAGUAACGAACCCAACUAGUAUCCAUGAGGACAUGGGUUUGAUCCCUGGCCCCGCUCUGUGGGCUAAGGAUCCAGCGUUGCCAUGAGCUGUGGUGUAGGUUGCAGACGCGGCUCGGAUCCCGCGUUGCUGUGGCCCUGGCGUAGGUUCCCUAGCCUGG